AUUGAACGCUGGCGGCAGGCCUAACACAUGCAAGUCGAACGAGUGGCGGACGGGUGAGUAAUGUCUGGGAAACUGCCUGAUGGAGGGGGAUAACUACUGGAAACGGUAGCUAAUACCCCAUACCAUCAGAUGUGCCCAGAUGGGUUUGGCUGGUAGGUGGGGUAAUGGCUCACCUAGGCGCCGAUCCCUACCUGGUCUGAGAGGAGGACCGGCCACACGGGAACUGAGACACGGUCCAGAGUCCUACGGGAGGCAGCAGUGGCGAAUAUUGCACAAUGGGCGCAAGCCUGAUGCAGCGAUGCCGCGUGUGUGAAGAAGGCCUUCGGGGUGUAAAGCACGUUCAGCGAGGAGGCGUUACUCGCAGAAGAAGCACCGGCUAACUCCGUGCCAGCAGCCGCGGUAAUAC
rnacentral:rRNA from 1 species